rnacentral:lncRNA from 1 species
CCAAAUACUGCAUGUUCAUUUUGCAUACAUUUUUUAAAACGAAAGCAAAAGCUUUGUUACAUCUCAUUAAGAAAGGAAAGAGAAAAACAUUGUCUUCACGGUUAGAGGACCACAUAGAUCCGAACAAAGGGAUCACUCUUCCAGAAUAAUAUUACCGGAAAACUUAGCCCCGGCAAUUACCCACGUCUUCACCUUGUUUUUAAUUGAUGCCGCCACCCUUGUGGGUAGGGUAGCCUUGUAGCGGAAGACUCGAACGUUCAUUUCGUUCCAAAUCUCCCAAUAUAUGAACAUCCGCAAGGAGUAACCCACUUUUCUGAACUAGCAUGGUUGGUUCUCACUCGAAAUCCACUAUUGGUUCACUGUCUCCAAGUCGGCCCAGGAGGGGGUCAUAGAUUACCAUCCCAGCCAGCCGAAGAUAAAGUUCCAAACUCUGAUAGUGAAGGGACAUUUGAACAUAAUAUGGUCAGCGACCUCGGCUCCCGCUUGCAAAGUUGGCAAAGGUCAUCGUUUGGCCAGCCCUUGAGUUGAAGCCUGUUAGCUGUCGAAAUUAUGUCUUGUAUUAUGAGCAAGAGAAGAAUUUAAUCUUUAGGGUGCCCAAAUCUUGUUAAUAACUAGGCACAAUUUUCAUGAUUAAUUCCAGAAUAUAAAACAUGACGAUACCAGCUACUAACAUGUGAAACUCUAUCAUACUAGAUGCAGCAGACAACAUGAAUAGCAGCAAGACCGUAUAGCAAAACAUUUACGCAUCUACCAUGUUCAUCAGGCUAACGCACACCGCACGUACCGAACGUUUGUAGAGGAAGCAAAUGUGUUCGGUGCAAACAUGUUGUUGACUAUGACGUUGGCGAUGACGGGACGAAGUAGACGACGCUUGAGGCGGUGGUACGCAGCACCGCCCGACUUGCUUGGUAGACGACCCGUUGUGGAAGCAGCGAGCAGUCGCGCAAAGUGCUUCCCAAAAACCUAAUUCGCCUUCUCCCGUACAGGAUCGCAAAGGCGACUGGUUCCAGAGACCUGCUCUCCCGUUCGCCGUUGGACGCCGGCUACGAUGGCGGCGCAAGUUGUGAGACGAGGCAAAACCCUAG